rnacentral:rRNA from 1 species
CCUACGGGAGGCAGCAGUAGGGAAUCUUCCACAAUGGGCGAAAGCCUGAUGGAGCAACGCCGCGUGGGUGAAGAAGGUCUUCGGAUCGUAAAACCCUGUUGUUAGAGAAGAAAGUGCGUGAGAGUAACUGUUCACGUUUCGACGGUAUCUAACCAGAAAGCCACGGCUAACUACGUGCCAGCAGCCGCGGUAAUACGUAGGUGGCAAGCGUUAUCCGGAUUUGUUGGGCGUAAAGGGAACGCAGGCGGUCUUUUAAGUCUGAUGUGAAAGCCGUCGGCUUAACCGGAGUAGUGCAUUGGAAACUGGGAGACUUGAGUGCAGAAGAGGAGAGUGGAACUCCAGGUGUAGCGGUGAAAUGCGUAGAUAUAUGGAAGAACACCAGUGGCGAAAGCGGCUCUCUGGUCUGUAACUGACGCUGAGGUUCGAAAGCGUGGGUAGCAAACAGGAUUAGAUACCCGGGUAGUC